GAUGAACGCUGGCGGCGUGCCUAAUACAUGCAAGUCGAACGGAAGGUAGCAAUACCUUUAGUGGCGAACGGGUGAGUAACGCGUUGGUGACCUGCCCCGAAGCGUGGGAUAACAGUCCGAAAGGAUUGCUAAUACCGCAUGUGGUCCAAGAGACUAGAGGCUUAUGGACUAAAGGAGACAUUCACUUCGGGAGGGGCCUGCGUCCCAUCAGCUAGUUGGUAGGGUAACGGCCUACCAAGGCGAUGACGGGUAGGGGACCUGAGAGGGUGGCCCCCCACAAUGGAACUGAAAACACGGUCCAUACACCUACGGGUGGCAGCAGUAGGGAAUAUUGCAAAAUGGGCGCAAGCCCGAUGCAGCAACGCCGCGUGGGCGAUGAAGGCCUUCGGGUCGUAAAGCCCUUUUUGAGGGGAUGAGGAAGGACAGUACCCUCAGAAUAAGCCUCGGCUAACUACGUG
rnacentral:rRNA from 1 species